UAGAUCAUGUAUGUGCCUGCCGUCAAGUU
rnacentral:sRNA from 1 species